UUAAUUUUUCGUGGGUGCUUUUGUAAAUAUGUCUUAAUUUAAUGUUAUUGCACAGAACUGUUCAGUUUAAUUAUAUUAUUAUGGCUAACCUUAUGAAGCCUGUUGUUGUUUUAGGAACAGUAAUGAUACGAAUUGUUUAUUUAGCCUACUUAAAAAAUAAUUGUAGAAAAAGAACAUGUAUAGACAUUUUCACAGACAUUGUUAACAUAACUGUUACAUCUGCAUGUAAUUUGUAUAGAAAAAGCAGCUUUCUGGCAACAGAAAGUAAUAUAUAUAUUAAAGUAUAUAUUUUAAAGGUUCUAAUGUUUUUUGACAUUCCUUAUAUUUAUCUACUUAUGCAAGAGUUAUCCUUUUAUCUUAAUUUUUUUUUUAGAUAUUUUAGCAAGAGGGUUAUGUUUGUGUUUAAGCAGACACUGCAAGCAGGCUAAGCAUUUAUAGCUUGACAUGGCUGAAGUCAAUACCUCACCAAAAUUACAAUCAAUGUUUGGCUCAAAACUUGCCUAAUGGAAGUGUUUUCCCUUAUUUCUCUUUUUGUAUAGGCCCAUCAGAGUGAUUUCCUGAGUUCUCUCACACAUGGUCAGGGAAAUGGAUUAUCCAGUCACAGUACAUAAUGAAAGACUUGCCGAAGUUAGAAGAAGCUGAGUGAAUCUUCAGAGUGAUUGUUCAGAGAGAAGAUGUUAUGAUGUCUUACAAGAACCAAUGAAAUCUGGGAGACCUCAGAGUAUGUCCUUGCUGUGACUGUGCAAAAACAGCUAUGUUAUGCCCAUGAACGGAUUGGUGUUUAAAAGGGCCUGCGUUCAACAGUGUCUCUGUUUAAUGUGAAGAAAAUCCAUGGCAUUUGCACCAGAGGAGGAGCUUCAGUUACUGAAUAGUCCUAAACAAUGA